GAGGAAUAUUGGUCAAUGGACGUAAGUCUGAACCAGCCAAGUAGCGUGCAGGAAGACGGCCCUAUGGGUUGUAAACUGCUUUUGUAUGGGGAUAAAGUGAGGGACGUGUCCCUUUUUGCAGGUACCAUACGAAUAAGGACCGGCUAAUUCCGUGCCAGCAGCCGCGGUAAUACGGAAGGUCCGGGCGUUAUCCGGAUUUAUUGGGUUUAAAGGGAGCGUAGGCCGGAGAUUAAGUGUGUUGUGAAAUGUAGACGCUCAACGUCUGACUUGCAGCGCAUACUGGUUUCCUUGAGUACGCACAACGUUGGCGGAAUUCGUCGUGUAGCGGUGAAAUGCUUAGAUAUGACGAAGAACUCCGAUUGCGAAGGCAGCUGACGGGAGCGCAACUGACGCUUAAGCUCGAAGGUGCGGGUAUCAAACAGGAUUAGAUACCCUGGUAGUCCGCACAGUAAACGAUGGAUGCCCGCUGUUGGUACCUGGUAUCAGCGGCUAAGCGAAAGCAUUAAGCAUCCCACCUGGGGAGUACGCCGGCAACGGUG
rnacentral:rRNA from 1 species